UACGUAGGGUGCGAGCGUUGUCCGGAUUUAUUGGGCGUAAAGAGCGUGUAGGCGCCAGACAGGUCCGUUGUGAAAACUAGAGGCUUAACCUCUAGACGUCGAUGGAAACCGUCUGGCUAGAGUCCGGAAGAGGAGAAUGGAAUUCCUGGUGUAGCGGUGAAAUGCGCAGAUAUCAGGAAGAACACCCGUGGCUAAGGCGGUUCUCUAGUACGGUACUGACGCUGAGACGCGAAAGCGUGGGGAGCGAACAGG
rnacentral:rRNA from 1 species